UACGGGGGGGGCAAGCGUUGUUCGGAAUUACUGGGCGUAAAGGGCGCGUAGGUGGCCAAGUAAGUCAGACGUGAAAUCCCUCGGCUUAACCGGGGAACUGCGUCUGAUACUGGAUGGCUUGAGUAUGGGAGAGGGAUGUAGAAUUCCAGGUGUAGCGGUGAAAUGCGUAGAUAUCUGGAGGAAUACCGGUGGCGAAGGCGGCAUCCUGGACCAUUACUGACGCUGAGGCGCGAAAGCUAGGGGAGCAAACGGG
rnacentral:rRNA from 1 species